UACGUAGGUGGCAAGCGUUGUCCGGAUUUACUGGGCGUAAGCGUAUGCAGGCGGACCUUUAAGUAGGAAGUGAAAGGUAAGAGCUCAACUCUUACACUGCUCCCUAUACUGGGGGUCUUGAGUACCGGAGAGGACAAGGGAACAGGUCGUGUAGCGGUGAAAUGCGUUGAGAUGACUUGGAACACCAAUGGCGAAAGCACUUGUCUGGACGGAGACUGACGCUGAGAUACGAAAGCCAAGGGAGACCGGAACAGG
rnacentral:rRNA from 1 species